rnacentral:rRNA from 1 species
GAUCGGAAGGAUCAUUA